UUUUUGGCAUAGCUAGACAUGUGGCCAGAGAUGGAGGUCAACCAACUGUCCAGCAGUUCUUGUUUAUUUACCAUAUGCUAAGUGUCAACAACUUGGUACGGCCUCCGAAAAGAGCGUCAGUCAAAGGUGAAGCACCAAAGUUGCUCCUCAAGUUGCAAGAUACUGACUGCAAAAAAGAGCCUUCUCCAACUCAUGUCGACACACUGGCUGUGCUCUUCGAUGAUAUUCUUUUAGAGCCUGCUGACUGCAUGGAAGGCAACAGUGGCACAAUACAGCCCAUGUCACCCAAGGAGUGCAUUCUAGAUCAUCUUGCUGGCUACAUGGUCAAGAAGUUUGCAACGAUGGCUUGCUCUUUGUGUGUCCAAACCUUCAAAAAUUCAACUCGGAAGCCAAAUGAUUUGACAUCAAUAAGAUCAAAAGGCUAUCUACAGGUGCCCUCAGACCGCUUGCUUGGCCUUUUAAAAAUAGUAGAAGGCUAUGUGGAGGAGUUCACAGUAGAGAAAAUUGCAUGCCCUAAUCUCUACAUGAAUAUUAUUGAAAGCAUAUUGCAUGACAAUAGGAUUCCCUCUGCUAGCGUGGGCUGUCCAUCUCAUUUUGUGGCAACCACUGCAUAAGUUGUUCAUUUCUUUCUGAGAUGCCGGCUGCAUUUUUUCACCAGAGAAAAAAACAAGAAGUCCAGGGAAUCAUCGCUCCGGUCUUGUCCGGCAAGUGGAGAGAAAAAGUUGAGUUAAACAUGGUUAAACGGUUUCGAGUUAUCUAGCUCUGUCAUGCCUCUGCAAAAUAAAAAGAUUUGUGGGAUUUUUUGCUUUAAAAAUUGUUGUCCUGUACUCAUGAAUAAAACUAUUGUUCCCCCUU